rnacentral:rRNA from 1 species
UGAGGAAUAUUGGACAAUGGGCACAAGCCUGAUCCAGCCAUGCCGCGUGCAGGAUAAAGGCCUUCGGGUUGUAAACUGCUUUUGUACGGAACGAAAAGACUCCUUCUAAUAAAGGGGGUCCAUGACGGUACCGUAAGAAUAAGCACCGGCUAACUACGUGCCAGCAGCCGCGGUAAUACGUAGGGUGCGAGCGUUAAUCGGAAUUACUGGGCGUAAAGCGUGCGCAGGCGGUUAUAUAAGACAGAUGUGAAAUCCCCGGGCUCAACCUGGGAACUGCAUUUGUGACUGUAUAGCUAGAGUACGGCAGAGGGGGAUGGAAUUCCGCGUGUAGCAGUGAAAUGCGUAGAUAUGCGGAGGAACACCGAUGGCGAAGGCAAUCCCCUGGGCCUGUACUGACGCUCAUACACGAAAGCGUGGGGAGCAAACA